GGGGCGGUGCCUGGCCUCUACACAGGGGUUGGUUCACUGGCUCGCUCUCGCUCUCACACACCCCCACCCCCCUCUCUAGAAAGACUGGGGCACAGGGAGGUCUCAGAGCCUACAACUCCCUAGUGCCUUGCCUACACUCUCUCACACAGCCCUACCCCGCUAUGGGGCACAGGGAGGUCUCAGUGCCUAUGAGUCCCUAGUGCCUUGCCUGUACACAGGUCUUCACCUACAUGCACACAAACUCACAUAACCCCCCCACACCCCUCUCUAGAUAUGCUGGGGUACAGGGAGGUAUCAGUCAAAACCAUGGGGAGGGAGGGAGGCAGCGAACACUGCACAGAGGAGGCGGCUGGGACUGGUUAGAUGGCAAGGAAAACCAGGAGAGGUCCCUGGGAAGGUGGCGCUGUUCUUGUCAGAUGCUCUUCAAGGUUGGCGCCAGGUAAGAGCAAUUACCUGGAUUACAGAGGGCAUGAGGAUUGCUAGCAGGUGGCCAGCAUUCUGAGGUAAGGGCAAUGGAGAAGAUGCUGGGGAAAGUGUGUGCAGCGAACAAGCGUGCCAGUGGGUUACCAGAAGAGGGCACAGCUGUGCUUUCAACGUGGCAUCCGUCAGGUCGGCAAUGGCUGUGGAUAGUUCUGUGAGCCUUUUGUGACGGUUGCUUCUGCAGCGCUUUCCCCCUGGGGUGGCGGGAGAAGCCUGCUGCUGGGAUCAGGCAGUGGGAUGAAAGGGGGAGCAGUAUUUAAAGCAUGCAGUCAAAUGAUCUAGUAAGUGAGCUGGUGGGAGGGUAUUGGUUUUCUUGACUUGGUGUUGGUGAUCCAACCUUAUACUUGAAAGGGAAGUGGCAUUUCUCCAAAAGGACCCAUUUGGCAUUGUGCUGCUGACCUUGAAAUAACUCCCUGGAUUAUCAAAGUGGAACAGUGUUCAUGUGGCUAGUUAAUUUCUCCCUUCAUCUUUUGCAAUGGCCAGGAUCAUUUCCUGUCUGUGCAUCCCUCUGGUGCUGAAAUCAACUGACCAGUUACCACUGGCGUGCAUGUCAGAAACUGUUGGGAGUGCUUUACAUAACACAAGGAUUUAUCCACAUAAUGUGUGCUCAAACAAUUGUCUCCACUAGAAGUUUCUGGAGAGAGAGAGAGAGAGAGAGAGAGAGAGAACUUCUGAAGAGCAGUCAUAUCACUAUAUCUUAACAUGUUCCAGUGGUGCAAAGUCAAAAUUGGUGUGAAAGUGAAUCUAGGAAGCUAGCUGUAAUCUGCAGCAGCAAAAAAAUAAAAAAUAAAAAUAUUAGAGGCAAGCUGGUUUACUGACCAUGGUGGAGGCACUAAAUGCAUUCUCUAUUUCUCUCUGGUGUUUGUGUGUUUUGAGUUGAUUUAAUUGAGUUUAAAGUCUUCAUGUUAGUCACCUUGAGACUAUUGCAAAAGACAGGUUAUAUAAACUGAUAUGAAAAACAAAAGUAGCACAUAAGCUUGAUGAAACGUAACUUGUAAUUCAUUUCUUAAAAUUAAUAGAGUAAACCAUAAAUAUUAUCUAAUAGUGAUAAGUUAGGAUUCGGUGGCUAUAUGCAUCUCUCUUAGACUGUUUUCAUGUCCUUAAGGUGGAGAUGUUUGUGUUUAUUUGGGAGUGAUGCUUUUAGAAUUGCUCUUGAUCUUGAAGUCCUCAGAUCAAGAGUGUGAGAUUAUAGAAUUUCAGCGAGUCUUUGGGAGAGGUUAGAACAGUGCUUUUAGGAAAACUAGGUCCCCCCCCCCCCAAGUUCUUUGAUGUUAGAAUGGGGUGGGGGUUAUCUUGAAUUUAGGGUCCUCUUCCUUUUGGGUAAAUAGUGUAACAUACAUGUAACCAGUGUUCCCUCUAACAGGGAUUCCCAGAUGGACUACAGGUCCCAUAGUCCCCAGCUGUAAUGGUUUUUGCUUGGGGAUUAUGGAGGUUGUAGUCAACAACAUCUGGGAUUCCUUGUUAGAGAAAACACUGCAUGUAACCCAUAUUUUUGAAGGGGUUUGUCUUAAAUUAAGGGCCAUCUUCUAUUCAGGUAAAUAUGGUAGCAUAAACCUGGGAAAGAGGAAGAAAACUUUCAGGGAUGAGGGAUUUACUUAACUGUGGGCCUUUAGAUGUUUGAUCUCAGAAUGUUUUCCAGGGAUAGUUAAAUGUGUUAGCUGUUAUAUUGUUUUUUAAUUGUUCUCUUAACUAGUUGUAAACUGCCCAGAGACUGACAUUUGGGAUUGUAUAACUUAGACUCCAAACCAUCAUUUGCAUUCCACAUGAACAGGCAAGUCUCCCAGCUCAGGCAUGGCACUUAAAUUUCCAGGUGCCAUGGCAGGCUGGUGGUGCCUGGGAACUGCCAAGCCCUGCAGUAACCACUAAAGAUGAAACAGCAUCCCAGGGCGAUAGUGGGUGGGUUCAGAUGGACUUGCACAACUCGCACAAACAUGUCAUGUCCCCUAGCUCUGACAGCGAGGAAGAAAGGGAAGCUGUUGGCAUUUCAGCCGAGUCUGGAAUGUCUGAAGGGCAGAGCCCGACUGCAGUGGAAUUAGCUGACGGUUCAGAACAGACUCAACAGCCUGAACCAGCAGAAAAUGUCAGCGACCAAUCGGGGGAUGAUUUAGGCAUUGGAGCUCCACUGAUGCCACGGCAACGCAGGUGUUUCAAACGCAGGUCACAACUGGAGGCGGUGCGGAGGAGCAAGCGCCUGUUAUCGAAGGCUGACAAGCCGUAAAUCCUGACACCUGGGAGCUUUCGACUGGCUCCAUAAAUUGGAGCCUCUGACUCCCACUCAUGGCUGAGUUUCAACAAUUGUCAUUCACCCACAGCAAGCAGCCGAGCCGUGUACUUCGCUGGCCUUGGGCCAGACCUUGACAAAACAGUGGGUGACAAGCUAGCUUCAAACUGUGGCUUUAUUUACUUAUUUAUCUAUGUAAGCCGCUUUGGAAAUGUUUUUUGAAAAGCGGUAUAUAAAUGUUGUUAAAGGUAAAGCAUGCUGUUGAGUCGGUGUUGACUCCUGGCGACCACAGAGCUCUGUGGUUGUCUUUGGUAGACUACAGGACUGGUUGACCAUUGCCUCCUCCCACACAGUAUGAGAUGAUGCCUUUCAGCAUCUUCCUAUAUCGCUGCUGCCUGAUAUAGGUGUUUCCCAUAGUCUGGGAAACAUACUGGCGGGCAUUGGAACUGGCAGCCUCUGGCUUGCUAGUUAAAUCAUUCCCCUGCUGUGCCCUUAGGUGGCUUAAAUGUUAGUAAAGAAUUAAUUGGCUUCAGAUCCUGGUCUGUCGUUCAGCAUUGUAAGCCAUGCUUUUGUCAGGUGGUGAUAGUUCAGACAUCAUGAAAAAUGAUGGUUCGGUUUUACCUCCAAAUGAUUUCUCAGUCUUUAUGCAUGUGGAAUCUGUAGAAGUAGGAAUCAAAGGUACACUGGGGCAAAGCUAUAUGAUGGAUAAAAUAAAGUCUAAAGCAGAGCAUUGGUCCCUAUGUUCUGAACUUUUUUUUUAAGCAUCUUGCUUUGUAUUUUCUACUUCGUUGGUUGUCAGGCAGGCUGUUCUUUCUCAGGUUAUUGACAAAUCUUAGUCAGUGACUUUGCUGCCAAUGUAUCGGAUGGUCCCUAUCAGAUUUAGGGAGUGACCGUUAACUGAGCUAGAAGUGUAGCUGUUCUUUUCAUUCCACUCUUCCAGCCCAGUUCUAAGCCAGGGGUUCCCCUUGGGUCCCUAAACGUUGUUGAGUUACAUCUCUCAUCAACCCAGCUACAAUGGUCAAAAGGGGGUGAUGGGUGUCGUAGUCCAAUGUUAUCUGGGGAUCCAAGACUGGGACCUCUUUUCUAAGCAUAUUUUCUCAGAAUAUUCAUUGCCUUUCAUUGGGAGUUACUUGCUAGUGAGUGCCCUUCAUAGUGCAGUCCUUUAUCCAUGUUUGUGCUCUUGUUUGGUUUGAGAGGCUUGAAAAAGACGAAGCCGUCUGUACAGUUGCCAUUUGCUUAUCUGUAGCCGUUUCCACUCCCCUCUCUCACGUUUCUUUGGAAAUGUUGCUGUCUGGAAAGGGUCACUUCUAUUUCUUUUGUCAACUUGAUUCAGUGCUAGUAAACAAACGGCAGGUUUUUGUUGUUUAACAACUGUGCUCUGUCCCAUCUCCUUGUAUCCUCUCAGGCAGGGCAAUGUCGGCAGCAGAACAGCGACCGACAGAGGCUUCUCCAUCAUCAAAUUCCUCCGGCUCUUCUGAGGUAGUAGAAAUGGAGGCAGGAAACAGAUACGAGCCUGUUUCCCCCCCACUGGUUUUAUUGCAAGGUGGUGGAUUCCAGAGAGAAGUGGAUCCCCUUCAGCGGACAAGAUUCGGAGAAGCUAGAAAAUGCCCAUCAAUCCACUGAUGGUACAUUACCAUCCAGUAGCAAUCUCGGAUGACUGGGGUUCAAGCCCCACAGAGCAAGGCCGACCGAGAACUGUGAAGAGAGGAGUGGAAAAUAUUGCUGUUGAAAUUCCCAAUGGAGAAGAGGAGGGGAGGAAAGUGGGGAGGAAGGCUAUAACAUCUGACAGCCGGGAGGUGGUCCGGAAGCUGCUGCUGCCACCCCUGGUCAGAUCCACCCUUUCCCUUGGUGACCAAGCCCCUGUGGCUGGGCCAUCAACGGAAAGGGUGAAGUCCGCCAAAAAACAAAAGCGGGGGAAAAGCCAAGAGGCCAGGGAAGUAAAGAGCACCCAGGUGAGGCCCCCACGGGAGGGCAGCCCACCAGCCCUCCCACGGAGGAUCGAGUCUCGGCGAGGGCCCAAGGCACCAGGUGGGGGCGUGCCUUCUGGGGGGAAACCCCUUCCCCACCAGGAGGAGGGGAGCCCCCCCAGAAGGUCGGAGGCGGCUGCGGCGGCUAACAUUCUCCAACCCGUCCCCAGGAGGAACCUGGAGCUUGGGGAGCCUGGGCGGGACUUUGUCUCCCUGGGGCAGGACUGUCUUUCUGGCUUGCCCAGGGAGACGGUUCCUCCCCAGACUUCAGUAAGGAACCACCGCAGGAUGAAGGCCCUGACCCCAAUGGGCCAUCCUCUGCUGAAGCCCCUCCUGUCAUCCUGGCAUCCGCCAGAGGCUCGGUAGAGGCCCGACCCAUUGCCAGCGCUAUCUAUCCAAGCGCUGAGGCUCCCCAAGGUAGAGCCAGCCCCUUCCUCCUCGGGGACUCCGCCGCUCCCCUCCGGCUCUGUGGCCCUUCCAUCCCCACCACGCCCCCGCCCGAAGGCACGCCCUUGGGGAGAGAGACCGUCACCCAUUCCUCCCCAAGGGCCGUGCCUCGUGGUCAGAGGCCUCCGCCCGCUGCGCGAUCCUCCGGUGGGGACCCUCUGGGUGCGUGGCAGCAGCGGUGGAAGGACCCCUCCUAACACUGCCUCUGGGCUGCUGCGGCCCCUCCCCUAAAUCUCCCCAAAUCUCUCCUGCCAUGAUGGAAGAGGGCUGCCCCGCCCCACCCGCCCACCUGCUGAUGUUUGCAGUGCUGCCAGCUUUGGAAUCUUCCUUCUCUUCCUCGUCAGCCUUUUCUAUCCAGCGCUUGUUGUUUCAAGCAGAGAAGAGAAUGGUGCUUCCUGUUCUGUAUGGCACUUUUCUCCUUGAGACCUGCUGGGUUCUUCUGGGCUCUGCUGUCGUUUCCAGAGCACGUCUGCAGGGGAGGACAUUGCGGGACACCAGUGUUGACCCUCCACCGAGCCACCUGGGGGUCGGGGUUGUGCACCACUGCCUGCCAGGGAUGCGUGAUGAGAUCUGGUCCUCCCCGACGCAGAGUGGCCUUUUGUACACACACACACACACAUACUUUUUAAAGAAACCCCUGCCAGUGUGACUGGAAAUGCUCACAAUAAAGCUGCCUCAGAUCUUCAGGGUCCACCACGUACCUCGCAUCUUCUGGGAAGAUGGCAUCAUCUCUGGCUACCAACACCCCAUAAGCUCUGCCUUGGACUGCGUCCUCAGCUCCUUCCAGAUGAACAAUGAGACGAUCAAUAUUUGGACACAUUUCCUCCCUACCUGGAGAGGAGGAGGGGAGAAAAGUGGGGAGGAAGGCUAUUACUUCUGACAGCCGGGAGGGGGUCCGGAAGCUGCUGCUGCCACCUCUGGUGCCUGGGGCCAGAUCUACCCUUUCCCUUGAUGACCCAGCCCUUGUGGGUGAGGUCCACAAAAAAAGAAAAGAGCCCCAGGAAGUACCCAGCAUCCAGAGGAGGCCCCCACGGGAGGGCAGCCCACCAGCCCUCCCACGGAGGAUCAAGGACGCUCGGCGGGGGCCCAAGGCACCGGGUGGGGGUGUGCCUUCUGGGGGGAAACCCCUUCUCCACCAGGGGGAGGGGAGUCCCCCCAGAAGGAGGCCGUAGGUGGCUUCGUCCCUCUGGGGCAGGACCGUCUUUCUGGCUUGCCCAGGGAGACGGUUCCUCCCCAGACUUCAGUAAAGAACCACCCCAGGCUGAAGGCCCUGACACCAAUGGGCCGUCCUCUGCUUAAGCCCCUCCCGUCACCUGACAACCGCCAGAGGCUUGGCAGAGGCCCACCCAUUGCCAGCGCUAUCUAUCCAAGCGCUAAGGCUCCCCAAGGCAGAGCCAGACCCUUCCUCCUCGGGGAAUUCGCCGCUCCCCUCCGGCUCUGUGGCCCGUCCAUCGCCACCACGCCCCCGCCCGAAGGACCGCACUUGGGGAGAGAGACCAUCACCAAUUCCUCCUCAAGGGCCAUGCCUUGUGGUGAGAGGCCUCCGCCCACUGCGUGAUCCUCCACUGGGGACCCUCUGGGUGCGUGGCAGCAGCGGUGGAAGGACCCCUCCCAAAACAGCAUCUGGGCUGUUGGGGUCCCUCAUCUGGAGCUCCCCAACUCUCUCCUGUCAUGACAAAAGAGGCUGCCCCCCCCCCCCGUCCGCUGAUGUUUGCACGUUCAUCAUACUUUUCUCUUUCCCAGCUUCUUUCCUCUUCUCACUUUUCACUCCUCCUCUUUGACUCCAUUUCAGUGCUGCUAGCUUUGAAAUCUUCUUUCCACAUCAAAUUCCAAAUCGGAACAAUCAAGGGUUUAAUCCUGUAGGCUACUGGGUCGAACUGCAAAAGGAAGAGAGGGUCUCGUAUCUCGUAUCCAUCAUCUCGUAUCCAUCUUUUGAUCUCCAAGACACGUGCUAAAAACCAAUACAGGCUGAGUAUCCCUAAUCCGGACAUCCGAAAUGCUCCAAAAUCCAGAAACCAACAUGGGGUGCACCCACAGCACCGACAAAACAUUAUUUUCACAGGAAAUCUGAAUUUCAUCUCCACCUAAAAUGCCAUGUUUGAGUCCAACAUGACCAGCAACAUUAUUGCAUUGAAAAUUCUUGCAAUUAGCUUUCAUUACAUUUACAGCUACCUAUAGUUAUUGUAAAUUCAAUGCUUAUUUGUUUUUAUACUUUAAAAUAAAACCUAGAAAAAUAAAAUGCAGUG